UCGGACAUUGCAGGAAGGGUCAGCAUCUAUUUGGAUGCAGCUGAUACCAGUUACAAUUUGGAUACCAGUUCUGCCAGCGGUUUCUCCAUGCCUUGGACUUUGUCUGCUCUGAUCUUCUCCUGGAUCUUGAUGAAACUGAUGUAAUCCCUCCGAGAACCGACCAUCCCGACACCAUGAGACUUUGUCAUAUCGUCGCCCCCAAUGCUCUCAGCAGAGAGAAGUUAUGAAGGAAUCUUGUAUCUAAUUCUUUUUCUGUGGAUGGUGUUGGCUGCAUCAUAUAUAACGCUUCCUAAGAUCACCUUCCCGCUGUGCCCCCCGAUUAUCUCUCAGUGUAUACAGUGCUGAUACUCCGCUGUGCCUCCCGAUUAUCUCUCAUUGUGUACAGUGCUGAUACUCCGCUGUGCCCCCGAUUAUCUCUCAUUGUGUACAGUGCUGAUACUCCGCUGUGCCCCCCGAUUAUCUCUCAUUGUGUACAGUGCUGAUACUCCGCUGUGCCUCCCGAUUAUCUCUCAUUGUGUACAGUGCUGAUACUCCGCUGUGCCCCCGAUUAUCUCUCAUUGUGUACAGUGCUGAUACUCCGCUGUGCCCCCCGAUUAUCUCUCAUUGUGUACAGUGCUGAUACUCCGCUGUGCCUCCCGAUUAUCUCUCAUUGUGUACAGUGCUGAUACUCCGCUGUGCCCCCCGAUUAUCUCUCAUUGUGUACAGUGCUGAUACUCCGCUGUGCCCCCCGAUUAUCUCUCAUUGUGUACAGUGCUGAUACUCCGCUGUGCCCCCCGAUUAUCUCUCAUUGUGUACAGUGCUGAUACUCCGCUGUGCCCCCCGAUUAUCUCUCAUUGUGUACAGUGCUGAUACUCCGCUGUGCCCCCCGAUUAUCUCUCAUUGUGUACAGUGCUGAUACUCCGCUGUGCCCCCCGAUUAUCUCUCAUUGUGUACAGUGAAGAUACUCCGCUGUGCCUCCCG